rnacentral:misc_RNA from 1 species
GAUGAAGAACGCAGCGAAAUGCGAUAAGUAAUGUGAAUUGCAGAAUUCAGUGAAUCAUCGAAUCUUUGAACGCACAUUGCGCCCCUUGGUAUUCCGAGGGGCAUGCCUGUUCGAGCGUCAUUAUAACCCCUCAAGCUCAGCUUGGUGUUGGGGCCUGCUGCACUGGCAGCCCUUAAAAUCAGUGGCGGCGCCAUCUGGCUCUAAGCGUAGUAAUUCUUCUCGCUAUGGAGUCCUGGUGGAUGCUGCCAUCAACCCCCAAUUUUUCUAUGGUUGACCUCGGAUCAGGUAGGGAUACCCGCUGAACUUAAGCAUAUCAAUAAGCGGAGGA